rfam:Felis catus isolate Cinnamon breed Abyssinian chromosome E3, whole genome shotgun sequence.
GCCCAGGGGGCUCAGUCGGUUGAGCAUCUGACUUUGGCUCAGGUCAUGAUCCCACGGUUUGUGGGUUAGAGCCCCACAUCGGGCU